CCUUUCUCUGUUCUGUUUCAAACAACUUUUCCAUGGAUAACGUAAGCUAAAAUUUUAAAUCACUGCACGUCACAGUAAGUUUACCAACCAACCAGCUGAUGAAUUUUUUUUCUGUGGAAAUUUUAAAAGUAGAAAUUGGUUCUCGACCGUUAGCUGUAAUGGCGGAAUGUGAAUGUUGCUUUGCUUUACUAGCAAUUUUUGUGGCUGGUGUAGGUCGAAGCCGUGACUCUCCACGCUGAAGGAUGUCUAUGUGUUCGAUGCGGCUAGAGGUUGCUACAUUGCAGUCUGUGCAACGAAAUUGCCUUGAAAACCAUGCUGCAGGUGAGCGUUGUUGCGGUACGCCCUUGAUUUAGUGCUGGAAGCUAGCGUAAGUAAUUCCCUGUUCACGUUGUUUUAUUUCUAGACGGUUUGAGUUGCAUUUCUGUUCUUGUGUUAUGGUUAUCUAUAGGAUUACUUUUAAGGUGGUUUGUCUAGGAUUUAGGGUUUUAGUUCGGCCUGUCUUCUUAACCAUGUUAACUUGUGAUUUAGCUUGUAUGCCUCGACGUUAUUUGAGUAAGUUUAUUGUUUAAAUACGAAAUUGUGCUUUAGUUAACCAUGUAAAUUUUUAACCCUUUCCGGUCCUACGUCGGACUGAGUCCGCCACGUAUUAUACAGUUUUAUAGACGUUGUGGAGUCAAUCCGAGGCAUACAAACAGUGUCAAUAUAUCAUUCAAGCCGUCAUCUGUGCAGUGGUGUCAACCAAGAAUUCAUUAUAAUAUAUUUGUGAACCUUGUAAAAAAAAUUUGUGAAGUGCCUACAUAUUUUGUUAGUACUUAUAUCCCCAGAAGGCGUGCGUUGGACAGCAAACAUCCGUGAACAAUUGCAUUAUGACCUGGAUUCCUUCAGUAAAAUUAGUCAGGAUUUAGAUAUUGAUAUAAUUGAGUAUAGUGACUCUGAUGCUUAAAUAACUUGAAAAUAAUGUGUGGCCCACCCUAGAGCUAAGAACUCAAGCUCACUGGAACUGUAUCUUUGUUCAUGUUGGUUCAACUGCCCUGAAACAUGGGCCAUAUAUAUUUCAAUACCAAUAUUGUACUGUAACCGUCUCUUAUUCUUUUGGGGGGCUUGAGUUUCAUACGGUCCACUACAGGUUUGCGACGAUGUAUAUAACCGUCUCCUCUCCUUAGCAGCUUGUUGCCAAGGUGGGAUCAGGUACGAUGAAGAAAUCCCAUUAGAUAGGACGAGCCAUGAAACUCAUAUCAUGGAAUUACUGGUUUUAAUUAAGGGUCGCGUCAGCUGUGUCACGAGGUAUUUAUUUGCAGGUGAUUGUUCUGGAUUAACUCCUACGCACGAUACUGGUAGAUAGUGCACUACUGUGUGUGAACAUAGUUAAAUUAAUACACAUGCGUCCGUCAUUGCCAAUUCAGAAUUGACGUGACUACUUGGCGAACUGACAACUAUAUAAGUUUUCAACUAAGAAUUUACAAUGUUUCAACUUGAGUACGAACUUGCAACAACUGCCUCGAAAAGAAGUUUGUUUCUCAAAAUGUAUUAAUUUCUCCCACAACCUGAAUGUUGUAACAUCACUGGUUCAUCUUCCCGCUUUGUUUCGUGGUUGGUGGAAUAAUUUAAAUUUAAGUCAGAAUAACUUUUCUCUUAUUGGCCGGUUCGAUACCCGAGGUCAACUGUGACAGUUUACAUCGCGUGGUGACUGUAGGACACUUAUGCCUACAUUUGCAUAAAUCCGAUUAAUAGUGGUCCGACCUCCUGGGGGUGAAAUGCUGCAAUGGUCUGUCAAAGUAAAGUUACAAGAAGAAUGCGAAUUUUUCGAAAAGACAGUUGACAGUGACAAAUAUAGGUCUUAUGUUCCCCUGACCCUUCGCGACUCGUGCAGGCGUGGAUGUGGAUGUAUUGAAGACGGAAACGACGGGAACAUUACUUCAUCCUUAACGGGUGGUCAUUUGUCUGGGCUCAACCUCAUGACUAGACGAUUACAGUACAGGUUAUCGCAACCUUCCUAGCAACUGUUUUGAUGCUAAAGGUUGUGUGAAAAUUGGAGCAGUUGUUUAUGCCAUUUUUAGGUCGUCAGAAGAGUUUUGGUGCUUCUUGGCCAAAACAAAAUUUUUAUUCUUGUAUGUUUUGCUCCUGUUACAUAGUUUGAUACCAUCUUAUGGCAUUCCUUGAAAGCAACCUAACCUAACCUAACUAUUUUUGGCAUUGGAUAGUUAACUACAGUUUUCGCCUUUUCUGUUGACCUGUAUUGCCUCUCUUGCUGCAAUAUAAUCUAAGUAUUCAACUUUGGCCAGGCAAUGGAACAAUCUCCUGUAGGCAUGAUGUCUGCUACUUCAGUGGAAUCCACAGACGACACUUUCACUUCCAAUGUUUGUUUUUGGUGAUAAAUCUCAAUUUCACCUUCGCGUCUGCACCCUUGGAGCAAACUCUGGAAAAGGGACUUCA